rnacentral:rRNA from 1 species
GACGAACGCUGGCGGCGUGCUUAACACAUGCAAGUCGAACGGAAAGGCCCUGCUUUUGUGGGGUGCUCGAGUGGCGAACGGGUGAGUAACACGUGAGUAACCUGCCCUUGACUUUGGGAUAACUUCAGGAAACUGGGGCUAAUACCGGAUAGGAGCUCCUGCUGCAUGGUGGGGGUUGGAAAGUUUCGGCGGUUGGGGAUGGACUCGCGGCUUAUCAGCUUGUUGGUGGGGUAGUGGCUUACCAAGGCUUUGACGGGUAGCCGGCCUGAGAGGGUGACCGGCCACAUUGGGACUGAGAUACGGCCCAGACUCCUACGGGAGGCAGCAGUGGGGAAUAUUGCACAAUGGGCGGAAGCCUGAUGCAGCAACGCCGCGUGCGGGAGGACGGCCUUCGGGUUGUAAACCGCUUUCGCCUGUGACGAAGCGUGAGUGACGGUAAUGGGUAAAGAAGCACAGGCUAACUACGU